GACCUCACAUGGAGAAGAUCACAACAAUAAAACCUCAAUGAAAACACAUUAAUAACGUCACAUGUACAGAAGUUAAACAGUCCUUUGCUUAGCUAUAUACACUGUUAAUCUGCGCUAUGCCCAGCUGUUAACGUUACCCGUCCCUGGGGGGUGAAAAGAGAUUGCUUUGGACAUGUUGCUCCGUGCUGCCAGGCGAGGAAUAAUUGCGUUUCGAUGCACUAUUUUGUUGUCCUGGCGCCAUGGCCAUGAUGUCAUCACCCCCAUAAAAGCAGAGCGCAGAGACCGUUCUCUGUCUUUCCACUGUAACUCUGUUUACUACAGGAGACACUCAACAUUGAACUUUUAUUUCCCUAGGAAGGUCUGUCGCUGGACGAGCGACAGACUGUUUUGAGUUUGCUGAAACACUUUUUUGGAUUUUGGAUUAUUUUGAAUUGUUAUACUUCACAUAACAAUCUUUGCCUGCAGAAGGAAGACAUGGAUUUACCUUUUUCUUUACGGAGCAAAGGACAGCCACUGAGCCUCGUUUUCUCCCCACUAAAGUCGACUACUGCUUCCCUCUGCUGCCACCCAAAGGAACAGUUUCGCCAUUGAACCUGCCAACAGCGCGGACCCGGCCAUGUCAGUAUCUGAGCCUGAGAGGACUCCGCUGGAUAAUUCUAAAGGACUGAUGCGUAAAAUCGCUAUCAAGAGCGCUCCCAAGUAAGAGGCUUGUGUCUGGGCAGAGAUAGAUUGUAUAACUGUGUGUUAUUUCAUCUGUGCUUCAUUGCUGUGAAUUGUUUUGCAUUAUAGUGGAAAGUAACAGACUGCCGUGUCCUGUUUAUGCUGUGUGUUUUUGUGCUUAGCACGUUCCAUUGUGUAUCUGCACCACGCCGCUGGACCAUUUAACUAUGUUAGUUUCGUAGCCACUGUGGAAGCUAAUAACUGUGCUUUAUCAGACCAAAGUCCAGUAACACAGCUUUUUAAAUGAAAGUUUGACGGGUUCCUGUGUGAUAAAGGGACAGCAAUUGUGCUUUACACGGCAUAUGUGAUAAGGAAUAAUUAAUAGAUUAAUAUUCUGAAAGCAACGUGUUUGUAAUGAUUCUGGUAGAGCAGAGACUCAGAUGCAGAAGUAAUGUUCAAAAAGGCAGUCUUUACUGGCAAGCCAGGAGUCAAACACAGGAAUUCAUUCAUGAUUUGUGCCAAGUAUCACACAAAUCUCAAACAAUAUUGGACAGCUGCAUAUGUCAAUAAACCAGAAGAAAAGACAGCCUCUUGAAGCAUGACCGGUUGGAACUGCCAUCUGGUGCCUUUUGUAAUAAGGCCCAGGACAAUAAUGACAACAAGUCUAAAAUAGUAUUUUAAAACUGAUGCAAUUUAAUCAGAGGUAUUGCAAAUUGCAAUGACAAUCUAAGCUUGUUUCUGGGAUCCUAAAUUGAACUCAGUCUCACACUUUCAAAUUGCGUGCAGAUGAUACACCAAAGUCCAGUUGUGUGUGCAUGUGAUAGCCAAUCCUUCUCAUUGACUUCUGUGGAGAUGCGUCCAAAUAGGUACCACACAUCACCUUGAACGGCCAUGACGUCACCAGCACCGAGGCAACAUGAGCGAUCAGUGCGUCUGCGCUAGCCCCUACAGUGCAGGACCUCAGGAGAGCUCCAGAGGAGUCCUAACAUGUUAGGAGCUGUAGGAGAUGGCAUUCAGGCAGAAACAAUCCAUGGGAGGAGACAUGACUUGGAGGACAAUGAGCUUAUUAAUUGGCACUAUUUAGCAGAGUUUCAGGAGCAGGACCACACCUCAAUCACACCACUCCCGGCAUUCCCUGCUUUCCGUAAUCCAAAAGCCGUCCACAAAGUGAGUGAGUCCAGCAAACCCCUACACAGUCUCUUCCUUGCCCACCUCCCUCAGCAGAAAAGAGAGAAAGGAAUUCAAGAAUAGUGCAUCACCGCCGCCGCUGCAGUUCUCUGACUCCAUUGCCUCUGAGGACAACUCCAGUCCCCACCAUCGUCUCGACCACUACGGCCUCACAACACGUAGCCGGUCGCAGCGUUACCACGCUCCAGCAAGGUCCCCCUAACGACCAGCCUUCUUUAAUAAAUACUGUACAAAAACAGUAAAAGAUAAAGGAAUAGUUUUUCACAAAACAGACAACAAAGCAAAACUUUCCAACACUCUCAUGUCAGCCUGUCAUGCCCACAGUUUCGUCAACACAGUGCCCUUCUGGGUGACAUCAUCACGCACACCCCAACAAGACACUGUGACGCCAGCGCCCAUAUUAAAGGGACAGUUCACCUCUAUCCUUCAGCUCAAGACAGCAGAAUGGGUAGCAACAAUGAAUAAUGGGAGUCAUCACCAACCACCUCUCAUCAUUCUAGCGCCCCCUGCCGCCAUCCUUCCAGCAACCACAGAAGCCAACCUUAGCAGGGGAAUCUGGCACCGGGAUGCCAGCGCCCCCUGCCGCCUACUUCCAGCAAUCAGCAGCAAGCCUUAGCAGGGGAACCUAGCAACCUUCAAGCAACUGCAGCAGCUUGCUUUAGCUGGGGCUCCUGGCAUCGCCCCCAGCGGUCCACUUUCAGCAAACACAGCAGCUGGCUUUAGUCGGGGCAUUCAACGCCAAGGUGCCAGAGCCCCCUGCCGCCCACUUCCAGCAACUGCUGCAGCUACAGUAACUCUAGCUAGGGCUUCUGGCACCAGGAUGCCAGGAUCUUCUGUCUCCCAGUCCCUGCAGCUCUCGUCAGCCGGUGCCCAGCUUUCCUCCACAGCCCACACAGCACCUAGUUCCUUCCAUACAAACUCUUCCUAUCUCUUCUAUCACCCGUCCUUCUCCAGUUCCCUCCAGUCUAUGCCAACAGAUCAUAGACAUACACAGAUCUUGCUCUCCUCAUCAUGCCUUCCCUUCGUCAACCACCUACUGACAGAUUCCUCAAAGGACACAAAGGGUGUCUCUACCUGAAAGGGAGAACACCCACCCGUUCCAGAGAACACCCACAGAGUUCGCUUAUACUUUCUAUCUCUUCAGAGACAUAUUUCUUCACAAUUUCCCACCCACCGGCAGAAAAUGGACAAUUACAUGGUCAUCAUCCUUAAUCUGGCCUCCGUUUUGGAGGCAAUGGUUCUACCAUAUCACAUCCGCUCUGCCUCUGAAGCUUCAGCCCAUCUUCAGCAGGCCAAAGAGGACACAUGCCGGGGCACACUUGACAAUGAAAUUUACUGCAUCCUCGCCACCUGUGCAGCCCUACCAUGCUCAACAUGUGGUGCCCCGUCUCACCCAGCCUCUUCCUGCUCUAUCCCCGCCCACACUCAGCCAGUAGAAUGGCCCCAGGGCUCGCAAGUGAAUGCCAGGUCACUUCCUCCACUGUCUUUGAAAUCUAUCCCUUAAUAGCCAAAGCUACUCCCUGGGUCCACGAAUGGUCCCGCAAGUCCAUCCUGGCAUACUUCGACAACCUCGCAGACUUUAGCUUCUCUAAACUCCUAAAUGGUAGCCCGGGUCUGGCCUCCAGCCAUCCUCAGAUAACUUCACUUCUCAGAGGACUUCUUUGUCAAGACCCAGCGCAAAUCUUCACAGCCUUCAUCUUAGCGCAGACUUGCUGUCUGCAUCCACACCAUCCACAGUAUACCCCAUAUUGCUCAAAGUGUAGAAGCCAUGUUCUUGCUUGCUUUUUCGGUUUCCUGAGACACUCCAGAUUCCCCACCUCGCUUCGCUUCGACCCAAGCCAUCACACCUGCAUUUCCGACUCGUCUAAUUUUUCAGGUAAAACCAUGGUAUUUACAUAAAGUGAACAAAAACCAAUCAAUCCAGUCAGCUUACACCAAGUUCAAUCACUGAAUCCUUUCAAGACCCUUCCAAACUUCUUGCAAUUCUGGAAAAUCCCAGCAUAACCAUGAUAGAUUAUAAAAAAAUUUAAAUACUAGUCAUAGUGAUAAACUACUCUUAUAGCUUUUUACUCACAAAGCUUUUAUUGCACUUUCAGUAACACCGGUGGGGGGGUUGGCUAUUAAAUCACUGUCAGCAACGAUGGCAUUGCUCAUUGGGCCAACCCUAUGUACAUCAUUAUGGGUUAUGGUUAGCAUUAAUGUAUCUCGGCAUAGGUUAAAAAAAAAAGAAGGAAAAAAGGACACAACCAAGAUUUUGCAUGACCAACAGGUGCUUGGUUAAGUGGACUUGGUGGCUUGCUGGAUCUUCUUAACAUGCUAAAUGCUAAAAUACUCAUGGUGGAUCCUCCAGUGGCGACUUCUACGUUCCACAUUCAUUUAGGAACUUCUACCUUCAGUGAGCUGUGUGAGGCCUUUCUGCGGUUUUUGAUAAUCCCAAAUGUGACUGCAGAGCGCUUUUUCAUCUUGUUUUCAAAUGUUUGAAAACUUUAAGGAGUGCAGUGGAACAGAGAGGCUGAGUGGACUGAUUAUUAUGCUUUGAGAAUGAACAAGCAGAGAAGUUGAACCUAGAGCAGAUUGUGGAGGACUUUGCGGUGCUCAAGGCUCACAGAAUGACGUUCAGACAAGAUGAGCAGGCUACAACAACAAACUCACUGUGAUGGUUCCAACUCUCUCCAGAGGAGAACAUCGAUGUUGCUAGGCAACGUGUGCAGCUCUCUUUUUGCUGUAAUAUGUGUGUUUGUGGCUGCAGCCGCUGUGGAGUUUUUAUUGUUUAUACAUCUUUGUGUUGGUUGCCUUGUGAUGCUUUACUGUGCUGUUAAAGUGGCAGGUUGUUUCAUUUCUGUAGCCUAAUAAUGCUUGUUGUAUUUGAGUAAAAAAUCUUUAAAGUUACAGUACUUUUACUUGAGAAAAAUAUUAUAGUAGUCUUUCCAACCCUGGUCACUUUAUGUACAGUAGGCCUGAUCUCAUUAUUUGCUAAUCAUAGGAUUAGAAAGGUGACACUUUUCUGUCUUAUUUCUGGUUGCAGAAGCAGGGGAGUGCUCUCUGGGUCAUCACAGCUUUAAACAGUGCCCACAAAUCACUUCUACUUCAUUACUGACACCACAAACACAAGCAAAUCUACUUCCUGAGAAGGGAAGAUGAUAUUCAUCACUGCCGAUGAGCUGUGCUAAAUUAGUGGUAAAAGGUCGUGCUCCCUGAGGGUUCUGAGGUUUUUGUCUGUGUUUUACUAUUCACAUAAAUGUCUUCAAAUGGUGACUUCCGGUUAAUGCAUCACUGUUCCUCUGAGACAACAAUCAAAAGGAGAGGAAAAAUGUCCCGUGGUUGCUUGUACCAUGGUAAAUAGCAUUAGUCUGGGAUGUUUAAUAAUUCCAGGAAUUAAGUCUUUUCAUUUCUUUUGCUGCAGCCACUUCCUCUGAUCCUGCCUUGUCCUCUACCAUGAUUUCCUACACGGCCCAGAAUGCCUUUAAACAGCUCCAAGAAAACAUCACGUCCAGGCAGCUAACAAUAACAAACACUGCCAGUAAAAGUUUAUGCCAGGCUUCCAUAGAUCCUGCAGUGGCCUUUGCAUGUGAUGGAUGUACCAGUGACGACCACCUGAACAAAAAUAUUUGGCAAAAACGAUGUGGUCACAUGAUAUUCUCUGAAUUUUCUGAAGUUGAGGAGGGUUGCUUAAAUGCACCAUUAAACAAGUAACUUGCGUGCAAUUUUGUGGGACACACUGGUUGUGUAAUUUCCGGCAAAUAAGUGACACAUUUGAAACUGUGGAAUGGAACAGGUCUUCUUUGAGGAGGAAGAUAAGGAUUAAGACCCACUGAACGCAGAACUAUGGGAAACACAGUUCACCCCGAUUAAUUUUUCUAUGGGACACAAGUAAAUUGCCCCUCAAAGCAUUGUGGGAUAGCAGGUGAUGCUUGACUGACCAGUGAAAACAGGGAGUGAUCAAAAGUUGGAAAUGUUCAAAUCUGUGUAAAAGAGGGCAUAAUUCUCCUAUAAUCUCUGUAGUCAUUUGCCAAAAAGCUGAUGAAUAAAAAUUGAUGUGUCAUAAA